rnacentral:rRNA from 1 species
GAGUUUGAUCCUGGCUCAGAUUGAACGCUGGCGGCAGGCUUAACACAUGCAAGUCGAGCGGGGGAGAUUGCUUCGGUAAUUGACCUAGCGGCGGACGGGUGAGUAAUACUUAGGAAUCUGCCUAUUAAUGGGGGACAACAUCUCGAAAGGGAUGCUAAUACCGCAUACGCCCUACGGGGAAAGCAGGGGAUCACUUGUGACCUUGCGUUAAUAGAUGAGCCUAAGUCGGAUUAGCUAGUUGGUGGGGUAAAGGCCUACCAAGGCGACGAUCUGUAGCGGGUCUGAGAGGAUGAUCGCCACACUGGGACUGAGACACGGCCCAGACUCCUACGGGAGGCAGCAGUGGGGAAUAUUGGACAAGUGGGGGGAACCCUGAUCCAGCCAUGCCGCGUGUGUGAAGAAGGCCUUAUGGUUGUAAAGCACUUUAAGCGAGGAGGAGGCUCCUGUAGUU